rnacentral:rRNA from 1 species
AUGAACGCUAGCUACAGGCUUAACACAUGCAAGUCGAGGGGCAGCAUGAACUUAGCUUGCUAAGUUUGAUGGCGACCGGCGCACGGGUGAGUAACACGUAUCCAACCUGCCGAUGACUCGGGGAUAGCCUUUCGAAAGAAAGAUUAAUACCCGAUGGCAUAAUUCUUCCGCAUGGUAGAAUUAUUAAAGAAUUUCGGUCAUCGAUGGGGAUGCGUUCCAUUAGGUUGUUGGCGGGGUAACGGCCCACCAAGCCUUCGAUGGAUAGGGGUUCUGAGAGGAAGGUCCCCCACAUUGGAACUGAGACACGGUCCAAACUCCUACGGGAGGCAGCAGUGAGGAAUAUUGGUCAAUGGACGAGAGUCUGAACCAGCCAAGUAGCGUGAAGGAUGACUGCCCUAUGGGUUGUAAACUUCUUUUAUACGGGAAUAAAGUGAGGCACGUGUGCCUUUUUGUAUGUACCGUAUGAAUAAGGAUCGGCUAACUCCGUGCCAGCAGCCGCGGUAAUACGGAGGAUCCGAGCGUUAUCCGGAUUUAUUGGGUUUAAAGGGAGCGUAGGCGGACGCUUAAGUCAGUUGUGAAAGUUUGCGGCUCAACCGUAAAAUUGCAGUUGAUACUGGGUGUCUUGAGUACAGUAGAGGCAGGCGGGAUUCGUGGCGUAGCGGUGAAAUGCUUAGAUAUCACGAAGAACUCCGAUUGCGAAGGCAGCCUGCUGAACUGUAACUGACGCUGAUGCUCGAAAGUGUGGGUAUCAAACAGGAUUAGAUACCCUGGUAGUCCACACAGUAAACGAUGAAUACUCGCUGUUUGCGAUAUACAGUAAGCGGCCAAGCGAAAGCGUUAAGUAUUCCACCUGGGGAGUACGUUCGCAAGAAUGAAACUCAAAGGAAUUGACGGGGACCCGCACAAGCGGUGGAGCAUGUGGUUUAAUUCGAAGCAACGCGAAGAACCUUACCAAGUCUUGACAUCCUUCUGACCGGACAGUAAUGUGUCCUUUCCUUCGGGACAGAAGUGACAGGUGGUGCAUGGUUGUCGUCAGCUCGUGUCGUGAGGUGUCGGCUUAAGUGCCAUAACGAGCGCAACCCUUAUCGAUAGUUACCAUCAGGUUAUGCUGGGGACUCUGUCGAGACUGCCGUCGUAAGAUGUGAGGAAGGUGGGGAUGACGUCAAAUCAGCACGGCCCUUACGUCCGGGGCUACACACGUGUUACAAUGGGGGGUACAGAAGGCAGCUACACGGCGACGUGAUGCUAAUCCCUAAAGCCUCUCUCAGUUCGGAUUGGAGUCUGCAACCCGACUCCAUGAAGCUGGAUUCGCUAGUAAUCGCGCAUCAGCCACGGCGCGGUGAAUACGUUCCCGGGCCUUGUACACACCGCCCGUCAAGCCAUGAAAGCCGGGGGUACCUGAAGUGCGUAACCGCGAGGAGCGCCCUAGGGUAAAACUGGUGAUUGGGGCU